GUCUUUCACGUACAGCAUAGUCUUUCUUUUAUGGAGCUACGUUGAAUACAGCUCAUCAGUGAACCCUGCCCAUAACUCGCUGCUGAACGUCUCUCUGCUCAGUGAUAAAGUGAACUUAUUUCUCCAUUUUUCCUUUGAAUCUCAGGCAUUUUCUCAGUAUCCAUGUGUGUUCCAACUAGAACUUCCCAAAACUUCCACAGUUAAACCAGACUGAUGUACAGCUGCUUUGUUCUAAUAAUACUCUAGCUUUCCUGGCUGAGAAACAGUUCCCAAACUAGACGUGAUAGUCUAUGAAGUCUAACAUGGAGCGAUGUACCACCUCUGGGAAGGACAUCUUUCACAGUCCUGCUUCUUUGCAACCUCAUUGGCACCGAAAGGUAGCAUGAAAUGGAGCCAGGAUGACAGGGCCCCAUCUGAGCCAUGCCCAGCUCCCCCAGUCUGCACAAACCCACUCUAUCAAUCACGGUGCAGAUUUGUUCAGCUGCUUUAUGAUUUACCACCAGCACAGCACAGCCUCAGACCCUACCGUGCAGCAUCUUUAAUCCUACAGCAACUCCUCUUCAUGCAUGAUUGUAAGUUUGACAGGGACGUUUUCCUCCACAAACUUGCUGUGAAAGAUCUGCUUCCGGAGGCCACGGAUUUGUGUGUGGUGGAAUGGAGUUUUGCAGUAAAAGUGUGGCAUCUGGUGGUCCAGAGGAGAAAUGGCAGCCCACUCUGUGAAGAAAGAAAUGGUCACAGGCUGAACUAG
rnacentral:lncRNA from 1 species